rnacentral:pre_miRNA from 1 species
UUUUUAGUGCAAAUAUGUUCCAUGUAAUAUUUGGGACAUACUUAAGCUAAAA